rnacentral:rRNA from 1 species
GAUGAACGCUGGCGGCGUGCCUAAUACAUGCAAGUCGAGCGAACAGACGAGGAGCUUGCUCCUCUGACGUUAGCGGCGGACGGGUGAGUAACACGUGGAUAACCUACCUAUAAGACUGGGAUAACUUCGGGAAACCGGAGCUAAUACCGGAUAAUAUAUUGAACCGCAUGGUUCAAUAGUGAAAGACGGUUUUGCUGUCACUUAUAGAUGGAUCCGCGCCGCAUUAGCUAGUUGGUAAGGUAACGGCUUCCAAGGCGACGAUGCGUAGCCGACCUGAGAGGGUGAUCGGCCACACUGGAACUGAGACACGGUCCAGACUCCUACGGGAGGCAGCAGUAGGGAAUCUUCCGCAAUGGGCGAAAGCCUGACGGAGCAACGCCGCGUGAGUGAUGAAGGUCUUCGGAUCGUAAAACUCUGUUAUUAGGGAAGAACAAAUGUGUAAGUAACUAUGCACGUCUUGACGGUACCUAAUCAGAAAGCCACGGCUAACUACGUG